GACCUGCUUGGGUCUUUCCCUUUUCCCCAAACCCAAGAAACCUGCAUCCUGACCUGUCUGCCUGCCCCUGGAUUCUCCUACCGCCUAACCCUGCCUGUGCUGUUGCCAUCGCGGACUGAUCACCCGGUAUUCCGACCUGUCUGCCUGCCCCUGGAUUCUCCUACCGCCUAACCCUGCCUGUGCUGUUGCCAUCGCGGACUGAUCACCCGGUAUUCCGACCUGCCUGCCUGCUUCUGGUUUCUCCUCUCUGUCGAUUCUUGCCUUUGCCUUCGUGGAUUGAUCUCCUGGUUACUGAACCUACCUGCCCGUCUCUACUGUUUUUGCUCCUGCCUACUCCUCUGUACAAAAAUAAAUCAACAGUUGCGUUUCUGCAAUUGGAACCACA